rnacentral:tRNA from 1 species
GCCUGGGUGGCUCAGUGGUUGAGCAUCUGCCUUUGACCCAGGUCAGGAUCCUGGGAUCAAGUCCCACACAGGCU